UCAGGAUGAACGCUAGCUACAGGCUUAACACAUGCAAGUCGAGGGGCAGCAUUGGAGUAGCAAUACUCAGAUGGCGACCGGCGCACGGGUGAGUAACACGUAUCCAACCUGCCGCUUACUCGGGGAUAGCCUUUCGAAAGAAAGAUUAAUACCCGAUGGUAUAAAGAGUUCGCAUGUUCUCUUUAUUAAAGAAUUUCGGUAAGCGAUGGGGAUGCGUUCCAUUAGAUAGUUGGCGGGGUAACGGCCCACCAAGUCUACGAUGGAUAGGGGUUCUGAGAGGAAGGUCCCCCACAUUGGAACUGAGACACGGUCCAAACUCCUACGGGAGGCAGCAGUGAGGAAUAUUGGUCAAUGGACGAGAGUCUGAACCAGCCAAAAGUAGCGUGAAGGAUGACUGCCCUAUGGGUUGUAAACUUCUUUUAUAAGGGGAUGAAGUGAGGGACGUGUCCCUUUUUGUAUGUACCUUAUGAAUAAGGAUCGGCUAACUCCGUGCCAGCCGCCGC
rnacentral:rRNA from 1 species